UGUACUCUGAGAUGUUCGCCAGCGAGUCUAUAUCCCUGCCGAUACUUAUAUCUUCGGAUGUGUUCUGUGUAUUUAGAGUGUAUGUCUACCCUCGUGUAGAAAACCCAGCAAAUAUGCGUCGCGUCCACCUUGAACUCAUCGGGUUCAGGGUAACGACAUGCAGCGGCAUCGUCGGAGUACUU
rnacentral:other from 1 species